rnacentral:lncRNA from 1 species
CAUUCUUCUCCUUCUGCUCGUGAGCUUUCUCUACUUCCAGGUCUGGAUGGAGGAGUAAGAUUGAGCCCCUGGUGACUUCGUGUUUAGUUUUUAACUUAACACUUCAAGCCACACCUGAGACUUGUAGCUCUCUUUGACUCGCUCCUCGAGAUUCCUUCAGGACGAUGGAUGACUGGUCCAGCUUGGGUCAGAGGGCCAACUCCAGUCCAGUUACAAAGGGUCAGAGACCUGGCUCAUGUAGUGAACAGCUAGAAGCCCAUCCCUGUGGGUGGGCGGUUGUGGGGAGAUGUGGGGAAUAUAGGGGUCUCAUCAAGUCCUAGGCAUUUGCCUCUAGAGGUAUCAUUUCAGGCAGUAGAUAGACUUUUGCAGGGGAGCAAGUAGGAAAGGAGGGGGACCAAAGGGAACAUAAUAAAUGAGCUGGUGUGCUCCCCAAACUCUAGUUGUCUUUAUCACCUGUUUUUCUUUCUUUUUUUUUCUUCUUCUUUUUAAAAUGAGAGUUAGUCUUUGAGUGAGACUUUCCCAGAAACUUAUAGGAGGAAACAACUGGAAAUGGCUGGCUAGGAUGUAAAACCUAGUGUAACAAGGUCUAUCCCCUUAGCAACUUUUUUUAAAAUACAAUACAAUAAUGUUAAUUAUCUGACAGCAUCUUCUGACUUAGAUUCAUCUACUGGUUUAAGCAAGGACAUGGAUUUAGAAUGCCCUGUGUACCCUCUUUUGUCCUGUCCUAUCCUCAAUGACCAAAGAAACACAUUUGAGGAUAGUUCGAGUGGGAUUUGAGGAGUCUCCUCAGAAAUAGUAACUGUUCCUUAAGGCUUUUGAAAGUAAUGUUUCUCCUGACCUCAUUUAUUAUAGGCUCAGCCAACCAUAUUAGGCGAAUCCCGGAGUUACCUGGGACUUUCUUUAAUCUCCUGGCCCUAGGUCUUUUCUACAUAAAACUUUAUUUUAUCUUUUCUUCUGUGACAUUUGCUUUGGCUAUUAUCUUGUCAAAGGUUUUUGAAAAAUGAGUGUAUUGCCCUGACUCAUUGUCAUGAGAAUAAAGAGAGAGAACUUCAAAGGCUGCAGUGGGUAUUAAGACAACGCCUUUUUUUUCCCCUCCCUGAAUCUAGGCUGGUGAUUCUUAAUCAAAAUGUUCUUUUUCAUGAUCUCCACCCAUGUGUCUCAAGUGCUUUUCAAACAAUUUAUUUUAGAAUCUUUGUGUUUUAUUUAGGUCUCUCUGGACAUCACACACUAAAUUUAGAGAGGCUCUCUUCAUGCCCUUCCCAGGGCAGUUUUCAUUCCUCUUCUCAAAUUUCCCCAACACAGUUCUCUCCAUUCCUUUAUUUAGUGUUGUUUUUCACUGGGAUUGUCCCUUAAGACUUAAGGAAAGUAAAGAAGUCAGUGGGUGUUUUGGCUUGUUGGCAAUUUUAGGCUGUAGAGGGUUCCCUGGAAGGUUUCUUCCCUAGGAAUAAAGACCCAGAUGUGAUAUCCAUUUAAUUUCUUCUUUUUAAAGCAUCUGGACUAGGCUUCCCUAAUUCCUUUUAUGAAUAUAUAGGGGAUAUCUUAGCAGAACAGAAAAAGAUGUAAUAAGAAAGAGGACAUAUGUUAGCUGUAAUCGUGGUAAUAUUAUAACUUAGCUGAUGGUCACCUUGGCCUUUCCUGGAGGCUCUUUCCAGUCAUUGCGGUCUGGCACCUGUCCUUGGGAUACAGUCAAAGAAGGAUCAGAAGUAGAGUCCCUACUGGGCAAAGGGAACAUAUCUGGUCUCUAACCUUGGGUCAAACUGAGGAAUUUGUGGGGAACUGUUUUAUAGUUGCUUUGCGAUGUGGAGCUAUGAAGCCUAUUGUUGACUGAAAGGCUAGGGCCGUAUUUGCCAAAAAUGGAAAAUACAUUACAAUUGCAAUAUAUUUUGAUAUCACAAUCAGGGAUGAUGUAACCAGAGGCCUAUGGGAGGCAGAAGCAAAUAUCUUUAGGUGGCCAGGGCAAUCUUGCAAGGGAAGGGAAUGUGUGGGAGGCACUAGAAAGCCAGAUUAGAGACUAAGUAGGACUAAGGAAGGGUCUCACAUGCAUGGAAUAAUCUCUUCCCAGAUGGCUGGUUACUUUCUGUCAUUGAGGUUGAGCUAGUUUUCCUGGCUUGAUCUGAGACAAGGGAGCUGCACUAUAAUGUGAAAGUGAUCAUGCAAAAUACCCAAAGUCUCCUUCCAAAAAUAGCACCUCAUGCCUCCUUAAGCCUCUUCCAUAUUCCUCUCCUUUUAUAUGUCCUUCCCUAAGUUAUAGAGGUACUCCCUUUUACCCAUCCUUAUAAAAUACUACUCCCAAGAAAAGGAUCUUAUAAACCUGAUGAUACUGAAGAGAAAAGCCUUGCCUCUCUCCUGCCUCCCACCUCAGGGCAUAUGUCAUUUAAUAGAAAGAGAAACUUGAGCUAGAAAACCAUGGAAUAUUAGAGCCUCCAUAUUUCAAGCUUUCUUUGGUGAACUGUCUUUUUCUAUUUUUCAUAUGCCAGUAUGGAAACAGCUGCCAUCUAGAGUUCUAGCUUUUUUUUAAAUUGGAAAUUAACUAACUUCUUCAGUCUACCUUUUUUAUCCCAUUAGAUUGUAACUGAACAGUUUAGUUAAAACAGACUACAAAGCUAGGCUUCUUUUCUGACCUGUCAAAUGCUGCUUUUACAGAGAAGCAAUGUUUCCACACAGCUGCCACCCUAAAGGUAAUAGGCAUGGACAGAAGAGAUCUACUCUCUCUAUGUCACAUGUAUCUGCUUAGUCAUGUGGGAGAGGACUGGUGUUUGCCUCACCUUGUGUGGUCAAUUCCAUCUUCCAAUGAACUUAUCUCCCAGUGACCUAGUACACUCUUCAUUUCUAAGUUGGGAAAUGUUAAUAGGGCAGUGCUGUUUCUAGGUAAAUACUGGAUAGUUCUCUGUUCUAAAAUCAGCUAUAUGGUUCUAAGUUAUAAAGCUGAUAGUACCAAAAAGGAGACAGGCAUCCAAGUUGGAAGGAGGCUGACUGAUGAUGAGAAUAAGAAAAGGAAAGUAGCUGGAUUUUCAUGGAAAUUUAAAGGAAUGAUAGAAUUCCCUGGUAGCUUAGUAAGGAAAAUAGACACCAGUGUUUCUCCUCUCUGGCUGUACUAGUGAAUCAUCUGAUACUUCUUGAGAUAUUUAUGCCCAAGGCUCCAAGCUCAGGGGGUCUGAUGUAAGUAGUCUGGGUAGAGGCUUGAGCAUCAGUAUUAGGCAAUAUAUUGCUGAGUUGAGAAACACUGGUCUAUGACCAAAAGAGUCUUCAGCUUUUUCAGUGUUUUCAGAAAUGCUCCUCAGGCUGAGGGAGAUAAGAUUGUCUUGGGCUACACAAAUCUGGACUCUGUCCCUCAAUGGAGAGAGUACUAGAAUCUGACUUUUUGUAUUAGCAUCAUUGAUACUAAGUCAGAUGGUUCAUGGACGAUCAUUGGAAAAACACUAGAAUGGAAAGGGAAGGGAGUGUUUCCUGUCUAUGCACCUACUGUUAAUAAUGAACAUGUUUUUAUUUCAACUUCACAAUGAUUCCGUGAGGAAAGCAAAAUUAUCCCAUUUCAUAGUUAGGGAACCUCCAGUUGCCCAAGAGCACAGAGCUAGUAAAUAGCAAAGUCCAACAUGAUACAGUGUUUAGCUGAAGUGCUAAGGACAAGGAAAGUUCUAACCACAGAUUCCUUUUUCUAGGCUUUUCCAUGCUUCCCUUCAGCACACUAGCUGAGCCCUAAGGGUCAUUAGCUCUUGACUCAAAGAGGAUGGGUGCGAUGACCUGGCUGAGAAUCAGAGAGAAGCGCAGCUGUUGACAUAGCCCUGCCCAGGCAGGGAGAGGUUCUGGGGAGGAGGUGCUAGGGUCGGAAAGCUGUCCCAGUGCUACAAAUCCUAAGCAACUAUAAGCUCGGUCAAUCUUGAUUGUAAGAAAAAGCCAAUAGGUUUAGAGAAAAACAUAAAGUUUCAUUGCUCCAAUUUGUGUGGGUUUUUCAGCUGUCUGUCAAAUGUCAAUCCUUGUCCCAAUAAGAAAGUACAUUCUUUACCAGUAAAGAGGAUUUGAAAACUCCACAGACACCCAUUUGUGCCUACAAAUACAAAGGGAAGAAGGGUGAUGUUUGUCAGAGCUGUGAAGGUUUGUGAAUGAACUCAGGGUAGUGAUCUUGUGUUGGCUGCAUCUGGCUUUGGAGGGAGAGAAGCCCAUUUCCCAUUAGUCAUUUCUUCUCCCUCCCUCAUCAGAAGGGACCAUCUCCAGGGUUCUAUACAUUUUAGCCUAAAACAAAUACAGCUCAGAGCUGGUUCAAGGUUCUCUGUAUCCCAGAUUCUAUUGCUUGCCUGAUGCUGCCAAGUGGAUGCCUCUGAGUCUGUUAAAGAUAUUCAUGUUCUAACAUGUUCUCCAUGUCAGAGACACACUCCAUUGCCUCCCCAGUCACUCCAAGUGGAAAUAGCAUCUCCCCCUCUCACCCCAGAGCCAAGAUAGCUCCAAGUGGGGUUGAGGGGCAGUUUCCUCAUAAGUACUUCUUGGAUCUGUCUACCUCUCUGUAUCCCCAUUGUCACCUGCUCCUUCAAACUGCCAUUAUAACCUGCCUGGACCACAACAGGAGCCCUCCUUUCACUGCUCUUCCUACAUCCAUGCAUACCCCUUGCAUCUAUUCUUCCCUGUGUCAGGCGAGGGACCUUUUCAAAAUACUAAUUUUGGAGUUUCCAUUGUGGCACAGUGGAAAUGAAUCCAACUAGGAACCAUGAAGUUGUGUGUUAGAUCCUUGGCCUCGAUCAGUGGCUUAAGGAUCCGGUGCUGCCAUGAGCUGUGGUGUAGGUCUCAGAUGCAGCUCGAAUAUGGCAUUGCUGUGGCAUAGGCUGGCAGCUCUAGCUCCGAUUCGACUCCUAGCCUGGGAACUUCCAUAUG